AAAAAAUAUAAUAAAAAAUAUGGGUCCCCAGACUAUUUUUGACUGAAAAACGUUUUUGUGACCCCUAACGACACAGUGAUCAACAGCUGUUAUUUAUAUAUCUUUCAAAAUCAGUGUAAAAAGUGUGACACAUGUUGUCAUGUCCUUUGUUAAACUUACACAGAAUAAUACAGUUCCAAAAGACAAUGAAAUGAAAGCAUGUUUGUGUCUCUAUGAACAAUGGUUACCAUGGCAACAGGACAAGAAGUUGGAAAAUUCAAGUUUUUGCAUUGUUCUGAUGUGCAAGAGUUACUACCUAACAGACAAAAAGAGAUCAAAUACCAUUAUUUCAGAGCUACAAC
rnacentral:lncRNA from 1 species